UCCGUAGGUGAACCUGCGGAAGGAUCAUUAAAA
rnacentral:rRNA from 1 species